GAUGAACGCUGGCGGCGUGCCUAAUACAUGCAAGUCGAGCGAACAGACGAGGAGCUUGCUCCUCUGACGUUAGCGGCGGACGGGUGAGUAACACGUGGAUAACCUACCUAUAAGACUGGGAUAACUUCGGGAAACCGGAGCUAAUACCGGAUAAUAUAUUGAACCGCAUGGUUCAAUAGUGAAAGACGGUCUUGCUGUCACUUAUAGAUGGAUCCGCGCCGCAUUAGCUAGUUGGUAAGGUAACGGCUUACCAAGGCAACGAUGCGUAGCCGACCUGAGAGGGUGGUCGGCCACACUGGAACUGAGACACGGUCCAGACUCCUACGGGAGGCAGCAGUAGGGAAUCUUCCGCAAUGGGCGAAAGCCUGACGGAGCAACGCCGCGUGAGUGAUGAAGGUCUUCGGAUCGUAAAACUCUGUUAUUAGGGAAGAACAAAUGUGUAAGUAACUAUGCACGUCUUGACGGUACCUAAUCAGAAAGCCACGGCUAACUACGUG
rnacentral:rRNA from 1 species